rnacentral:rRNA from 1 species
UACGUAGGUGGCAAGCGUUGUCCGGAUUUACUGGGCGUAAAGAGCGCGCAGGCGGUCGUCCAAGUCGCGUGUGAAAGCCCCCGGCUACCAACUGGGGAGGGUCACGCGAUACUGGUCGACUCGAAGGCAGGAGAGGGUAGUGGAAUUCCCGGUGUAGUGGUGAAAUGCGUAGAUAUCGGGAGGAAUACCUGUGGCGAAGGCGGCUUUCUGGGCCUUACCUGACGCUGAGACGCGAAAGCGUGGGGAGCGAACCGG